ensembl:lncRNA
UCUAGGUACUGCUCUGGGGUUAUAGCACCCCCAGUGGUAGGGUCUAGGUACUGCUCUGGGGUUAUAGCACCCCCAGUGGUAGGGUCUAGGUACUGCUCUGGGGUUAUAGCACCCCCAGUGGUAGGGUCUAGGUACUGCUCUGGGUUUAUAGCGCCCCCAGUGGUAGGGUCUAGGUACUGCUCUGGUUUUAUAGUGCCCCCAGUGGUAGGGUCUAGGUACUGCUCUGGUUUUAUAGUGCCCCCAGUGGUAGGGUCUAGGUACUGCUCUGGGUUUAUAGUGCCCCCAGUGGUAGGGUCUAGGUACUGCUCUGGGGUUAUAGCACCCCCAGUGGCAGGGUCUAGUAUGUUGUUAGCUUCCAGGUCCUGCUGUGUGGUUCCAGGCGUGUUGUCCUUCUCCAGGUGGGGUUGUGUAGUAACAGCUCCUCCUGGGGUACUGUCCAGGUAGUGCUGUGUGAUCAGCUGACUCAGGUACAUCAGGAUGGAACAGUCGUCUUCCCCAAGCCUGAGCUGAUCCCUCAGGAAGCCCCUCGUCCUCUCCUCCACUUCCUGUCUCUGCUCCAGGUGGCUGAUGGGAAGGUGGAGGUGAUGCGUAAAGCUAAGGAGGAAGGCCCGGGAAGCCAGUCUACUGAGC